rnacentral:tRNA from 1 species
GCCGAAGUGGCGGAAUCGGCAGACGCGCUGUCCUCAGGAGGCAGUGAGCGAAAGCUCGUGUGGGUUCAAAUCCCACCUUCGGCACCA